rnacentral:tRNA from 1 species
ACCCUGUAGCUCAGUUGGUUGCAGCGAAAAGAUGAGCAAAGCGAGUCUUUCCGCUGCCGCAGAGAGCAAAUGACUCUUAAUCAUUGGGUCGAGAGUUCGAGCCUCUCCGGGGUCA